AUUGAACGCUGGCGGCAUGCCUUACACAUGCAAGUCGAACGGUAACGGGCCUUCGGGUGCCGACGAGUGGCGAACGGGUGAGUAAUGUAUCGGAACGUACCUUUCAGUGGGGGAUAACGUAGCGAAAGUUACGCUAAUACCGCAUAUUCUGUGAGCAGGAAAGCAGGGGAUCGCAAGACCUUGCGCUGAUUGAGCGGCCGAUAUCAGAUUAGCUAGUUGGUGAGGUAAAGGCUCACCAAGGCGACGAUCUGUAGCGGGUCUGAGAGGAUGAUCCGCCACACUGGAACUGAGACACGGUCCAGACUCCUACGGGAGGCAGCAGUGAGGAAUAUUGGUCAAUGGGCGGCAGCCUGAACCAGCCAUCCCGCGUGAAGGAAGAAUGCGCUAUGCGUUGUAAACUUCUUUUCCAGGAGAAUAAAAUGCCAUACGUGUAUGGUACUGAAGGUAUCCUGGGAAUAAGCAUCGGCUAACUCCGUGCC
rnacentral:rRNA from 1 species